rnacentral:rRNA from 1 species
UGGGGAAUAUUGGACAAUGGGGGGAACCCUGAUCCAGCCAUGCCGCGUGUGUGAAGAAGGCCUUAUGGUUGUAAAGCACUUUAAGCGAGGAGGAGGGUACUGGUAUUAAUACUACCAGGUACUGGACGUUACUCGCAGAAUAAGCACCGGCUAACUCUGUGCCAGCAGCCGCGGUAAUACAGAGGGUGCGAGCGUUAAUCGGAUUUACUGGGCGUAAAGCGUGCGUAGGCGGCUAAUUGAGUCGGAUGUGAAAUCCCCGAGCUUAACUUGGGAAUUGCAUUCGAUACUUGUUAGCUAGAGUGUGGGAGAGGAUGGUAGAAUUCCAGGUGUAGCGGUGAAAUGCGUAGAAAUCUGGAGGAAUACCGAUGGCGAAGGCAGCCAUCUGGCAUAACACUGACGCUGAGGUACGAAAGAAUGGGGAGCAAACAGG